rnacentral:rRNA from 1 species
GACGAGCGCUGGCGGCGUGCUUAACACAUGCAAGUCGAACGGAAAGGCCCUGCUUUUGUGGGGUGCUCGAGUGGCGAACGGGUGAGUAACACGUGAGUAACCUGCCCUUGACUUUGGGAUAACUUCAGGAAACUGGGGCUAAUACCGGAUAGGAGCUCCUGCUGCAUGGUGGGGGUUGGAAAGUUUCGGCGGUUGGGGAUGGACUCGCGGCUUAUCAGCUUGUUGGUGGGGUAGUGGCUUACCAAGGCUUUGACGGGUAGCCGGCCUGAGAGGGUGACCGGCCACAUUGGGACUGAGAUACGGCCCAGACUCCUACGGGAGGCAGCAGUGGGGAAUAUUGCACAAUGGGCGGAAGCCUGAUGCAGCAACGCCGCGUGCGGGAUGACGGCAUUCGGGUUGUAAACCGCUUUCGCCUGUGACGAAGCGUGAGUGACGGUAAUGGGUAAAGAAGCACCGGCUAACUACGUG